AGCAGCCGCGGUAAAUUCCAGCUCCAAUAGCGUAUAUUAAAGUUGUUGCAGUUAAAAAGCUCGUAGUUGAAUUUCGGGGCCAGUUGGUUGGUUGUGCCUAUGGUAUGUACUGGCCUACUGGUUCCUCCUUCUUGAAGAACCGUAAUGUCGUUAAUUUGGUGUUGCGGGGAAACAGGACUGUUACUUUGAAAAAAUUAGAGUGCUUAAAGCAGGCUAACGCUUGUAUACAUUAGCAUGGAAUAAUGAAAUAGGACGUUUGAUCUUAUUUUGUUGGUUUUUAGGAUUGACGUAAUGAUUAAUAGGGAUAGUUGGGGGCAUUAGUAUUCAAUUGUCAGAGGUGAAAUUCUUGGAUUUAUUGAAGACUAACUACUGCGAAAGCAUUUGCCAAGGAUGUUUUCAU
rnacentral:rRNA from 1 species